AGGAUAAACGCUGGCGGCGUGCCUAACACAUGCAAGUCGAACGUCUCUUCUUUCGGGAAGAGGAGUGGCGGACGGGUGAGGAACACGUGGGAACCUGCCCUUUAGUGAGGAAUACCGGCGAGAAAUCGCCGACAAGACCGCAUAGCCCUCUUUGAUGAGAGUCAAAGAAGGAAAGCUUCGCAAGAGGCGCUAGAGGAGGGGCCUGCGUCCGAUUAGCUAGUUGGUGGGGUAAGAGCCUACCAAGGCGUCGAUCGGUAGCUGGUCUGAGAGGACGAUCAGCCACACUGGGAUUGAGAACGGCCCAGACUCCUACGGGGGGCAGCAGUGAGGAAUUUUCGUCAAUGGGGGCAACCCUGAACGAGCAACGCCGCGUGGAGGAUGACGGCCUUCGGUGUAAACUCUUUCUGGGGAAGAGCAAAGACGGUACCCAGGAAGAAGCAUCGGCUAACUACGUGCCAGCAGCCGC
rnacentral:rRNA from 1 species